rnacentral:pre_miRNA from 1 species
GUGGUUGCUGGGUGGGUGGUCUCUACUAGUGCUGUGCAGAGGCUUUCGCUGAGGCUGCUAUGAGACUGUAGAGUUUCCCCCUGGGCCAUGGAGCCGG